rnacentral:rRNA from 1 species
GCAGGCCUAACACAUGCAAGUCGAGCGGUAGCACAGAGAGCUUGCUCUCGGGUGACGAGCGGCGGACGGGUGAGUAAUGUCUGGGAAACUGCCUGAUGGAGGGGGAUAACUACUGGAAACGGUAGCUAAUACCGCAUAAUGUCGCAAGACCAAAGUGGGGGACCUUCGGGCCUCAUGCCAUCAGAUGUGCCCAGAUGGGAUUAGCUAGUAGGCGGGGUAACGGCUCACCUAGGCGACGAUCCCUAGCUGGUCUGAGAGGAUGACCAGCCACACUGGAACUGAGACACGGUCCAGACUCCUACGGGAGGCAGCAGUGGGGAAUAUUGCACAAUGGGCGCAAGCCUGAUGCAGCCAUGCCGCGUGUGUGAAGAAGGCCUUCGGGUUGUAAAGCACUUUCAGCGGGGAGGAAGGCGUUAAGGUUAAUAACCUUGGCGAUUGACGUUACCCGCAGAAGAAGCACCGGCUAACUCCGUGCCAGCAGCCGCGGUAAUACGGAGGGUGCAAGCGUUAAUCGGAAUUACUGGGCGUAAAGCGCACGCAGGCGGUCUGUCAAGUCGGAUGUGAAAUCCCCGGGCUCAACCUGGGAACUGCAUUCGAAACUGGCAGGCUAGAGUCUUGUAGAGGGGGGUAGAAUUCCAGGUGUAGCGGUGAAAUGCGUAGAGAUCUGGAGGAAUACCGGUGGCGAAGGCGGCCCCCUGGACAAAGACUGACGCUCAGGUGCGAAAGCGUGGGGAGCAAACAGGAUUAGAUACCCUGGUAGUCCAUGCCGUAAACGAUGUCGAUUUGGAGGUUGUGCCCUUGAGGCGUGGCUUCCGGAGCUAACGCGUUAAAUCGACCGCCUGGGGAGUACGGCCGCAAGGUUAAAACUCAAAUGAAUUGACGGGGGCCCGCACAAGCGGUGGAGCAUGUGGUUUAAUUCGAUGCAACGCGAAGAACCUUACCUGGUCUUGACAUCCACAGAACUUUCCAGAGAUGGAUUGGUGCCUUCGGGAACUGUGAGACAGGUGCUGCAUGGCUGUCGUCAGCUCGUGUUGUGAAAUGUUGGGUUAAGUCCCGCAACGAGCGCAACCCUUAUCCUUUGUUGCCAGCGGUUCGGCCGGGAACUCAAAGGAGACUGCCAGUGAUAAACUGGAGGAAGGUGGGGAUGACGUCAAGUCAUCAUGGCCCUUACGACCAGGGCUACACACGUGCUACAAUGGCAUAUACAAAGAGAAGCGACCUCGCGAGAGCAAGCGGACCUCAUAAAGUAUGUCGUAGUCCGGAUUGGAGUCUGCAACUCGACUCCAUGAAGUCGGAAUCGCUAGUAAUCGUAGAUCAGAAUGCUACGGUGAAUACGUUCCCGGGCCUUGUACACACCGCCCGUCACACCAUGGGAGUGGGUUGCAAAAGAAGUAGGUAGCUUAACCUUCGGGAGGGCGCUUACCACUUUGUGAUUCAUGAC